rnacentral:rRNA from 1 species
CCUACGGGUGGCAGCAGUGAGGAAUAUUGGUCAAUGGACGAGAGUCUGAACCAGCCAAGUAGCGUGAAGGAUGACUGCCCUAUGGGUUGUAAACUUCUUUUAUAAAGGAAUAAAACGAGGCACGUGUGCCUUUUUGUAUGUACUUUAUGAAUAAGGAUCGGCUAACUCCGUGCCAGCAGCCGCGGUAAUACGGAGGAUCCGAGCGUUAUCCGGAUUUAUUGGGUUUAAAGGGAGCGUAGAUGGGUUGUUAAGUCAGUUGUGAAAGUUUGCGGCUCAACCGUAAAAUUGCAAUUGAUACUGGCAGUCUUGAGUACAGUAGAGGUAGGCGGAAUUCGUGGUGUAGCGGUGAAAUGCUUAGAUAUCACGAAGAACCCCGAUUGCGAAGGCAGCUUACUAAACUGUGACUGACAUUGAGGCUCGAAAGUGUGGGUAUCAAACAGGAUUAGAUACCCUGGUAGUC